GUCACUGGGUGUGGCUGCCUCCAGGGAGGGCUCCAUCUCUCAGCUGCUCUGCUCUCUGGGCCACGGGACUGGAGACAUAUGUGGACCUAUUUGGAACAUUCGGUGGAGGCUCUCUCAUGCACCUGUUGUGUCUCCCAAUUGGCUGUUGACUGCGCAGUGCCAACUGUUUGCAUCUUCCCUCCUCUGCCAGGGCCUCGGACAGAAGGAGCGUGGGAUAAAUGUUGGAGGACCGUCGGCAAGAGAAACACCCAAGCCAUACUCCACUGUGCGAAUGUCCCAAGGGCCCCCACUCUGCAGUGGGAAAACUGAGAUCCCAAGAAGGGAGGUCAUUUUAUCCUGAGCUCAUUUAGUGGAUUUGUGGAGGGCCAGAUGGAGACAGUUCCAGCCCGGUUAUCUCAGAGCCUCGCCUCCAAGUUCCCACCGACACAAGCUCUCACACACACACAUACACAUCCCUCACAUUCUUGCUCCAUCUGCCCUCACACACAAAACCACAGUCUGGCUCUUGACUUCACAGAUCUUAAAGGACCAGAAAGAGGAGAAAAAGGAACUCUAUUUUUCCUGAACUUAAUAUAGAUCAGUUUGGUGGUUCCAUUUUCAAAUAA